rnacentral:lncRNA from 1 species
CUAAGGCAUGAACAAAAGAUUACUUUUUGACCCUAAAGAGGAGGGUUAGGAGACCACUCCUUGAUUUCAUUAACUAAUAUAAACUUAGAGAGAAUGCUGUAAUAGUUUCUGAAAAUCAAAAAAAAAGAAAAAGAAACAGAGACAAAAUGGUGGGAGAGGCAAGGAGAGAGAAGGAAGUGUGAAGGAGGGGAUAUUGUUCCAAGGC